rnacentral:rRNA from 1 species
GGUCAAGUGAAGAAGCGCAUACGGUGGAUGCCUUGGCAGUCAGAGGCGAUGAAAGACGUGGUAGCCUGCGAAAAGCUUCGGGGAGUCGGCAAACAGACUUUGAUCCGGAGAUCUCUGAAUGGGGGAACCCACCUAGGAUAACCUAGGUAUCUUGUACUGAAUCCAUAGGUGCAAGAGGCGAACCAGGGGAACUGAAACAUCUAAGUACCCUGAGGAAAAGAAAUCAACCGAGAUUCCCUUAGUAGUGGCGAGCGAACGGGGAUUAGCCCUUAAGCUUCAUUGAUUUUAGCGGAACGCUCUGGAAAGUGCGGCCAUAGUGGGUGAUAGCCCCGUACGCGAAAGGAUCUUUGAAGUGAAAUCGAGUAGGACGGAGCACGAGAAACUUUGUCUGAACAUGGGGGGACCAUCCUCCAAGGCUAAAUACUACUGACUGACCGAUAGUGAACCAGUACCGUGAGGGAAAGGCGAAAAGAACCCCGGAGAGGGGAGUGAAAUAGAACCUGAAACCGUAUGCGUACAAGCAGUGGGAGCCUACUUGUUAGGUGACUGCGUACCUUUUGUAUAAUGGGUCAGCGACUUAUAUUCAGUGGCAAGCUUAACCGUAUAGGGUAGGCGUAGCGAAAGCGAGUCUUAAUAGGGCGUUUAGUCGCUGGGUAUAGACCCGAAACCGGGCGAUCUAUCCAUGAGCAGGUUGAAGGUUAGGUAACACUGACUGGAGGACCGAACCCACUCCCGUUGAAAAGGUAGGGGAUGACUUGUGGAUCGGAGUGAAAGGCUAAUCAAGCUCGGAGAUAGCUGGUUCUCCUCGAAAGCUAUUUAGGUAGCGCCUCAUGUAUCACUCUGGGGGGUAGAGCACUGUUUCGGCUAGGGGGUCAUCCCGACUUACCAAACCGAUGCAAACUCCGAAUACCCAGAAGUGCCGAGCAUGGGAGACACACGGCGGGUGCUAACGUCCGUCGUGAAAAGGGAAACAACCCAGACCGCCAGCUAAGGUCCCAAAGUUGUGGUUAAGUGGUAAACGAUGUGGGAAGGCUUAGACAGCUAGGAGGUUGGCUUAGAAGCAGCCAUCCUUUAAAGAAAGCGUAAUAGCUCACUAGUCGAGUCGGCCUGCGCGGAAGAUGUAACGGGGCUCAAACCACACACCGAAGCUGCGGGUGUCACGUAAGUGACGCGGUAGAGGAGCGUUCUGUAAGCCUGUGAAGGUGAGUUGAGAAGCUUGCUGGAGGUAUCAGAAGUGCGAAUGCUGACAUGAGUAACGACAAUGGGUGUGAAAAACACCCACGCCGAAAGACCAAGGGUUCCUGCGCAACGUUAAUCGACGCAGGGUUAGUCGGUUCCUAAGGCGAGGCUGAAAAGCGUAGUCGAUGGGAAACAGGUUAAUAUUCCUGUACUUCUGGUUACUGCGAUGGAGGGACGGAGAAGGCUAGGCCAGCUUGGCGUUGGUUGUCCAAGUUUAAGGUGGUAGGCUGAAAUCUUAGGUAAAUCCGGGGUUUCAAGGCCGAGAGCUGAUGACGAGUCGUCUUUUAGAUGACGAAGUGGUUGAUGCCAUGCUUCCAAGAAAAGCUUCUAAGCUUCAGGUAACCAGGAACCGUACCCCAAACCGACACAGGUGGUCGGGUAGAGAAUACCAAGGCGCUUGAGAGAACUCGGGUGAAGGAACUAGGCAAAAUGGCACCGUAACUUCGGGAGAAGGUGCGCCGGCUAGGGUGAAGGAUUUACUCCGUAAGCUCUGGCUGGUCGAAGAUACCAGGCCGCUGCGACUGUUUAUUAAAAACACAGCACUCUGCAAACACGAAAGUGGACGUAUAGGGUGUGACGCCUGCCCGGUGCCGGAAGGUUAAUUGAUGGGGUUAGCGCAAGCGAAGCUCUUGAUCGAAGCCCCGGUAAACGGCGGCCGUAACUAUAACGGUCCUAAGGUAGCGAAAUUCCUUGUCGGGUAAGUUCCGACCUGCACGAAUGGCGUAACGAUGGCGGCGCUGUCUCCACCCGAGACUCAGUGAAAUUGAAAUCGCUGUGAAGAUGCAGUGUAUCCGCGGCUAGACGGAAAGACCCCGUGAACCUUUACUGUAGCUUUGCACUGGACUUUGAGCCUGCUUGUGUAGGAUAGGUGGGAGGCUUUGAAGCGUGGACGCCAGUUCGCGUGGAGCCAUCCUUGAAAUACCACCCUGGCAUGCUUGAGGUUCUAACUCUGGUCCGUGAUCCGGAUCGAGGACAGUGUAUGGUGGGCAGUUUGACUGGGGCGGUCUCCUCCUAAAGAGUAACGGAGGAGUACGAAGGUGCGUUCAGACCGGUCGGAAAUCGGUCGCAGAGUAUAAAGGCAAAAGCGCGCUUGACUGCGAGACAGACACGUCGAGCAGGUACGAAAGUAGGUCUUAGUGAUCCGGUGGUUCUGUAUGGAAGGGCCAUCGCUCAACGGAUAAAAGGUACUCCGGGGAUAACAGGCUGAUACCGCCCAAGAGUUCAUAUCGACGGCGGUGUUUGGCACCUCGAUGUCGGCUCAUCACAUCCUGGGGCUGAAGCCGGUCCCAAGGGUAUGGCUGUUCGCCAUUUAAAGUGGUACGCGAGCUGGGUUUAGAACGUCGUGAGACAGUUCGGUCCCUAUCUGCCGUGGACGUUUGAGAUUUGAGAGGGGCUGCUCCUAGUACGAGAGGACCGGAGUGGACGAACCUCUGGUGUUCCGGUUGUCACGCCAGUGGCAUUGCCGGGUAGCUAUGUUCGGAAAAGAUAACCGCUGAAAGCAUCUAAGCGGGAAACUUGCCUCAAGAUGAGAUCUCACUGGGAACUUGAUUCCCCUGAAGGGCCGUCGAAGACUACGACGUUGAUAGGCUGGGUGUGUAAGCGUUGUGAGGCGUUGAGCUAACCAGUACUAAUUGCCCGUGAGGCUUGACCAU